AUACGGAAGGUCCGGGCGUUAUCCGGAUUUAUUGGGUUUAAAGGGAGCGCAGGCGGAGAUGCAAGCGUGACGUCAAAUUUCGGGGCUCAACCCCGUCUCGCGUCGCGAACUGCGUCCCUUGGUUGCGGGAAGGGGAGGCGGAACUCGUGGUGUAGCGGGGAAAUGCAUAGAUAUCACGAAGAACUCCGAUCGCGAAGGCAGCCUUCCGGCCCGUCAACGACGCUCAUGCUCGAAGGUGCGGGUAUCAAACAGGAUUAGAUACCCUGGUAGUCCGCACAGUAAACGUUGGACACCCGCGGUUUGGCCUAUAUGGCUGAGCCGCCAAGCGAAAGCGUUAAGUGUCCCACCUGGGGAGUACGCCGGCAACGGUGAAACUUAAAGGAAUUGACGGGG
rnacentral:rRNA from 1 species